AUAGCGUAUAUUAAAGUUGUUGCAGUUAAAAAGCUCGUAGUUGAAUUUCUGGGCGGCACCUGGUUGGCUUCGGUCAGCCUGGGCCUGUCCAUCCGUCUGGGAACCGCAUUCGACCUUUACUGGUCGGUGCGGGGAACAGACAUUUUACUUUGAAAAAAUUAGAGUGUUUCAGGCAGGCAAUCGCCGGAAUACAUUAGCAUGGAAUAAUGGAAUAGGACUUUGGUCCAUUUUGUUGGUUAUUGGUCCAAAGUAAUGAUUAAUAGGGACAGUUGGGGGCAUUAGUAUUUAAUUGUCAGAGGUGAAAUUCUUGGAUUUAUUAAAGACUAACUACUG
rnacentral:rRNA from 1 species